UACGUAGGGGGCGAGCGUUGUCCGGAGUUACUGGGCGUAAAGCGCACGCAGGCGGUCUGCUAAGUUUGGAGUGACAGUUGGUGGCUUAACUGCCAAAGUGCUUCGAAAACUGACAGACUUGAGGGCUUCAGAGGGACACGGAAUUCCGGGUGGAGUGGUGAAAUGCGUAGAUAUCCGGAGGAAUACCAAAGGCGAAGGCAGUGUCCUGGCUGGCAUCUGACGCUGAGGCGCGAAAGCUAGGGGAGCGAACAGG
rnacentral:rRNA from 1 species